ACUCCCACAGCCGUCUUGCUCCCUGCAGGGACUCACAGCCAAGGCCUCCUCCGUGGCGAGCUCCGUGGCCCCUCGCCUGCGCAGGCGUUCGAAGAUGACCGUGUCGGCGCCCUUGGUGUAGAGGCCGAUGGUGCCCUCUGGCUUUCGGACUGCGGCGGAACAGGCGCUGCUGCCCAGAGGCGCCCCUGCUGCCCACCCCCAGCAGGGGCCCGGGCCUCGCGGCGGGGCUCACCCAGCACCGACAUCCGUUUGCGCACGCUGUUGAAGUCCAUGAUGGCCAGGACCUGGUAGACCCGCUCCUCCCCCAGCUCCAUGACAGUGAUGCUGUCCUGGGUGCGGGACAGGAAGACGUAGCCGAAGUUCCGCGCCGCGGUGACCAGCGCCUCCUCGUCGGGGGAGGCCGCCUGAUGGCCAGCAGGCGCCAGAACUCCCGCACCGCCUCGUCCCGGUUGCUCCGCACCAGCCGCAGCAGGGCUGCGUUGUGGAAGAGCAGCUUCCCGUCCGCAAACUCAUUCCAGAGGUAGGGGUUCUCCUGGGGCGGUGGGGGACGGCUGGCUGUGGGCGCUCCUCUCCCCUGCCCCACGCCCCUCACUGUCGCUCGCUGCGGGGUGGACAGGCUCACCUUAGGUCUCCUGGUCUCUGAAUCCGGCCCUGGGGAAAGACCCAGCUUCAGGCCCCAGCUCCGCCAGACCCCCAACGUGGGGGUCCCACAGCCCUUGCCCCCCAGUCUCAGGCUUCCAGGGGCUGCUGGAUGCAGCCACACAAGCCAGGCCUGCGGCUCCGGAAUCCACACCUCAAGCAAUCUUGGGGUGAAAGCUGACCUCCGUUUCCACCAUCUGCACAAAGUGGGGAACACGGGAGCACCCCGUCCUGUCUCCCAGGGACCUCAGA
rnacentral:lncRNA from 1 species